AAGAGAUUUCAUCAGCUCUAUUAAAUAGUAAAUCGAGAAAUAAGCACUGCAGCCAUUUUUUAUUUUAUUUUGAAGCUAAAGCGGAAGUACACUUGCUUGUAUCAUCUUGGCUCGUACAAAGGUGGUAAAUUAAUACACUGGAAAUAAUGCGUGGUAGUCGACGCUGGUGCAUUCGUCCGAGAUGAACUCGCUUGUGGAUGCGCUGUUGUGGUGGAGACAGCUGCUCUACAAACAUCUGUGCAGGCCUGCGUUUGCCACUGUGAUUGUCAGCGUUAAGAGUUGUUACCAAGUGUGAGGCGCCAUCGACACCGCCCUCUGCUUCCCAGGGGUCCGUCGUAGAACUUGCAGACAGACAAGGAUCCGGGUUUCCCCACCAGCGCCUCCACGGAAAACGCGUGCGCCCUGGAGCUGAGACCCUGCAUCUUGACCGAUGACAUCCUGCGUGAUGAGCCAUCUGGCCGUGCUUGUGGGGGCGCUUUUGUGUCAGCGUCCUGGUGGCCAUGGUCUGAUGACCUCCUGGUGCAGAUGGCUCCUGUGAUAGUGUUUACUCACCUGUCUCCUCUGUACUCAGCCAUGCAAUCAUUGGUCCAUAUAGUUGCAAUUGUGUGUAAGUUGUGUGAGUGUGUGUUUGUGUUUGGUAUCGGUGUCCGUGUGUACGUAUGUGAUAAUGGGGGAUAUAGGUCACCGGCGUAUUGUUUUUAACUUUGUAAAAUCACUUUUGCGUUGCAUUUCUCUUAUGUAUGAAAAUCGCUUUAUAAAUAAAGCUUGAUUUGAUUUGAGUUUGUAUGUGUUUUGUUUUUACAUGUUAUAAUCUGUGUAA